GCUGCGAAGGACUUGCGUGCUUUUUGGGGCUGGCUGUUGGUCCUUGGGCCAUGGCUCGUUCAGUCGUCGUUGCGUGUUGUAGGUGGCCUGGUCUGCUCAGCUCAGCUCAGCUCUGCCAGAAAUUGCUCCUCCUUCAACCGCUGCCGAUUGUGCCUCGGCAAUGGCUAUUGCUACUGUCGCCGCUGCUGCUGCUGCUGCUGCUACUGCAUCUGCAACCUGCAACACCCAUCCAAACGUCGCAUCCACUGACGCCACAGCCAUAGGAGAAGUCGUAACGUCGCGUUCAGUCUUCGUCCUACAGCGUAACGUAACGUUGCCCACCAUACGUAAUGUCGCGUAGUGUUUUUUGUCCAUUGGCAUCGUUAGCCCGAAAAAAAAACUGUUAGGCGCAAAACACGAAAAAACAAACAAAACUGCCAGACCAGGUGACUGAACUGAUUCAACAUCCGCAACAUCCUCGUCCUCGACGCCGCCAAAACUCAAGUCAAGUGCCGUGGAUGUGUGUCAAUUAAAAAGUCUCGUCUCAGUGAGUCGCGUAUUUAAUUUGCGGCACAUUCCACCGACCGACUCACCAACCCACACACACUAUCCAUCCAUUUAAUUAAAAAUGCCACGGACACGGAAUCACAUAGAAAUAUUGACCAAAUCGCUAACAACCCAACGAUUUCAACUCAAAGUUAAACACAAUAUUGCGGCCAAGACCAGACAGAAGGAUGGAAGACCAGAUGAGCAGAGGGACUGAAAAACACAUAUAUACGAUGUAGACGAUAUAGACGAUGUAGAGGAAAGCCAAAACCUAACCCCGAAAAUCAAUAAAAUGAAUCGUUCAAACAUUGCGGUCAAAUGCUUCGACAACAAAAUUUCAAUUUUCAGGGUAAGUUGACAACAAACAAAAACCGAACAAAAAUUGCGAAAAUUUCAAAUGCAGAAAAUCGCUUUUUGUGCUCCUGAAUGCACUUGUCUCGGGGGGAAAUUGAUAUUUUCACCAAUGGAGGUAGAUGUUGGAUGUGGCUGUUGCAAGUGGCAAGUGGAAGUGGAAGUGUAAUUAAAGCAGCUUAUAAGUAAAAUACCAAAUUCUAACCGAAUGUUUGCCUUGGCUGUCAUUUGUAGUUUUGCAAUUUCGCAAUUUCCCCCAGCUUCAGCGUCAUUCAAAUAAACAAACUUGCGAACUUCCGAAGCAGAAAAUUAAUUUGCAAAUUUCUUAGUUGAAUAAAGUGAAAGGUAAAAGGGUUUGAAAAAGAGACUUCCUUUUAAAGAAAUCAAUCAACCUGAAUGAAACGCAUUAAGCGAGAUAAAGCGAAAACAUGGCAGGAAAAUUAAUAAAAUCAAAAGGAUUUUCUGGCCAUGAUAUCCUUCUAGCUUAUAGAGUCCUAAACCAGUGCAUGUCCUGUGUUGCAAGACAAAGACUUUCAGUCGGGAAGCCACUCCCUGGCUAGAGUCCUUUGCCAGGACCCUGAAACUGAA